rnacentral:antisense_RNA from 2 species
CUUUUUGGUGGCUGUGCGCGGGAGGCCUUCGGGUCUGCCGGGUUGUCCAUUGUCCGGUUCGCCAACCUGCGCACAGCUGCCACCCUU